UACAGAGGGGGCAAGCGUUGUUCGGAAUUACUGGGCGUAAAGGGCGCGUAGGCGGCCUGCUAAGUCGAACGUGAAAUCCCUAGGCUCAACCCAGGAACUGCGUCCGAUACUAAUUGGCUUGAAUCCGAGAGAGGGACGUGGAAUUCCAGGUGUAGCGGUGAAAUGCGUAGAUAUCAGGAGGAACACCGGUGGCGAAGGCGGGUCUCUGGGCCGAUACUGACGCUGAGGAGCGAAAGCGUGGGGAGCGAACAGG
rnacentral:rRNA from 1 species